rnacentral:rRNA from 1 species
GUGCCAGCCGCCGCGGUAAUACCGGCAGCCCGAGUGAUGGCCGAUCUUAUUGGGCCUAAAGCGUCCGUAGCUGGCUGCGCAAGUCCGUCGGGAAAUCCACUCGCCCAACGAGUGGGCGUCCGACGGAAACUGCACAGCUUGGGACCGGAAGGCCCGAAGGGUACGUUCGGGGUAGGAGUGAAAUCCCGUAAUCCUGGACGGACCACCGGUGGCGAAAGCGCCUCGAGAGGACGGACCCGACAGGGAGGGACGAAAGCCAGGGACUCGAACCGGAUUAGAUACCUAGUAGUCC